GUCACCGUAAGAUAUGAAAGUAAAGAAACUUUGCUGGCAGAUGCGGCAAUGGAAAAAGUGAGAAAAUAUCAACAUCUUAGAAGUCAAGUACAAGAACUGACGAACACCUCCAAUAUUAAAUUUAUGGGAUUUCCCCUGGGCGCACGCGGGAAGUGGCAUCACGGCAACUACGAGUUAUUGGCUAAGUUAGGACUCUCAAAUUCCCAACAGGAUAAAGUGGCUCCCCCUCUCCUAGGCGCACGUGGGAAGUGGCAUCAUGGCAAUUACGAGUUAUUGGCUGAGUUAGGACUCUCGAAUUCCCGACAGGAUAAAGUGGCUCGUCGUUUAUCGACUCGAGCGUUGUUUACAUCAGUGGACAUUGUACACGUGUUUGUAAGUCAAGCACGGUCUAUUGUAAGAUCUUGAAACUGUUAUAUAUCUGUACUGUUUAUUGUAUAUUUAAAUGCAAAUAAAGUGUAGUCAUCUUGAGAGCGAGUGAGCGACAGCUAGGGUGAAACUAACCAGCUCACGACGGUUAGGGAGGGAUGCUAUCUAGUAUGUAGGGAUAUUAUGGGACUCGAAAUCAUGAUGCAUCUUCUCUCUUGAUGAGAGAUCUAAAUUUACUGAUUUGACUAAGGUGGAUGGGCCACCUAUACUUUAACCCGGAAAAGGAACAUGUAUAAUCUUAUAUGUGUUCAAUAAAUAGCCAAAUGCCUCGUCAUCUAAUUAGUGACGAGCAUGAAUGGAUGAACGAGAUUCCCACUGUCCCUACCUACUAUCCAGCGAAACCACAGCCAAGGGAAUGGGCUUGGCGGAAUCAGCAGGUAAAGAAGACCCUGUUGAGCUUGACUCUAGUC
rnacentral:ncRNA from 1 species